rnacentral:rRNA from 1 species
UCGAGAAUCUUUCGCAAUGGGCGAAAGCCUGACGGAGCGACGCCGUGUGAGUGAAGAAGGCCUUCGGGUUGUAAAGCUCUUUCGCUUGGGAACAAGAAAAGCGGACUAAUAAUCCGUUAAUUUGAUGGUACUAGGUAAAGAAGCACUGGCUAACUCCGUGCCAGCAGCUGCGGUAAUACGGAGGGUGCAAGCAUUAAUCGGAAUCAUUGGGCGUAAAGGGCGCGUAGGUGGGUUUAUAAGUCAAAUGUGAAAUCCCGAAGCUUAACUUUGGAAUGGCAUUUGAAACUGUAGGUCUGGAGGUUUUGCGGAGAAAACGGAAUUCUACAUGUAGCGGUGAAAUGCGUAGAUAUGUAGAAGAACACCGGUGGCGAAGGCGGUUUUCUAGCAUUUGCCUGACACUGAGGCGCGAAAGCAAGGGGAGCAAACA